GGUAGAGCCGGGCGAUCAGCGGAGGGAAUACUGAGGGGGAAAGCGUGAGCCUGGGGUAUUGGGUUUAAAGGGUCCGUAGGCGGACCGGUAAGGCAGGGGGGAAAGCCGACAGCGUAACUGUAGAACUGCCGUUGAUACUGUCGGUCUUGAGUGUGGUUGAGGUAGCUGGAAUGAGUAGUGUAGCGGUGAAAUGCAUAGAUAUUACUCAGAACACCAAUUGCGAAGGCAGGUUACCAAGUCACAACUGACGCUGAUGGACGAAAGCGUGGGGAGCGAACAGGAUUAGAUACCCCGGUAGUC
rnacentral:rRNA from 1 species